UUCGGGGGAUGCGAGCGUUAUCCGGAUUUAUUAGGUUUAAAGGGUGCGUAGGCGGGGCUUUAAGUCAGCGGUAAAAUCAUGCAGCUCAACUGCAUCAAGCCAUUGAUACUGGAGUCCUUGAGUACGGUUGAAGCUGGCGGAAUGUGUUGUGCAGCGGUGAAAUGCUUAGAUAUGACACAGAACACCGAUUGCGAAGGCAGCUAGCUAAGCCGGCACUGACGCUGAGGCACGAAAGCGUGGGGAUCAAACA
rnacentral:rRNA from 1 species